rnacentral:misc_RNA from 1 species
GUACUGCGAUAAGUAAUGUGAAUUGCAGAAUUCAGUGAAUCAUCGAGUCUUUGAACGCACAUUGCGCCCCCUGGCAUUCCGGGGGGCAUGCCUGUCCGAGCGUCAUUGCUGCCCUUCAAGCCCGGCUUGUGUGUUGGGUCGUCGUCCCCUCCGGGGGACGGGCCCGAAAGGCAGCGGCGGCACCGCGUCCGGUCCUCGAGCGUAUGGGGCUUUGUCACCCGCUCGAUAAGGACCGGCCGGGCGCCAGCCGGCGUCUCCAACCUUUUUUUCUCAGGUUGACCUCGGAUCAGGUAGGGAUACCCGCUGAACUUAAGC